rnacentral:rRNA from 1 species
CAGCAGCCGCGGUAAUACGAAGGGUGCAAGCGUUAAUCGGAAUUACUGGGCGUAAAGCGCACGCAGGCGGUCUGUCAAGUCAGAUGUGAAAUCCCCGGGCUUAACCUGGGAACUGCAUUUGAAACUGGCAGGCUAGAGUCUUGUAGAGGGGGGUAGAAUUCCAGGUGUAGCGGUGAAAUGCGUAGAGAUCUGGAGGAAUACCGGUGGCGAAGGCGGCCCCCUGGACAAAGACUGACGCUCAGGUGCGAAAGCUAGGGGAGCAAAUGGGAUUAGAUACCCCAGUAGUCCCUGUCUCUUAUAA